CCGAUCCAGUAAACGAAAACAAAGAAGGAGGUAAAAUACGUGCCCAGCCACCGCGUUAAACGUAUGCCCUAAAGUAAAACUAGACCGGUGUAAAGGGUGGUUAGAAUGUUACAGCCUAGCUAUAGUUUUUAUGAUAGUGGUAGAAAACUUACCUAAAAUAAAAUAGCUAGCUAUACUUUGACCCACGAAAACUAGGCAUAAACCAGAUUAGAUACCCUGUUAUACCUAGAAGUAAACAACCUAUAAACACCAGAGAACUACUUAACUUAAGUUAAACUCAAGGACUUGCGUUUCCAAACCUCCUGAGGAGCUUGCCGUCGGAUCGAUAAUCCACGCUAUACCUUACCGAUUCUUGCCUUCACAGCUUAUACAUCUGCGAAAUUUCUUCCUAAGAAAGUUAACACAAAGAGUCAAUCUCUUCACAUCAGAUCAAGUGCAGCUUAUGAAUCGGGGACAGGUGAGCUACAAUGUUAAUAAAAACCAGUGAAAUAAGGGUUGAAAAUAGUCCUUAAGAAAUUGGAUUCAGCAGUAAGCCCCAGAAGAGAAUGGGGCUGAAGAAAGCUCUGAAUGCGUACACAUCGCCCGUCACUCUCGCCUAGCCAAAGGUAAAGGGGAGAAAAGUCGUAACAUAGUAGGUAUACCGGAAGGUGCACCUGGAAAAU
rnacentral:ncRNA from 1 species